UACGGGGGGGGCAAGCGUUGUUCGGAAUUACUGGGCGUAAAGGGCUCGUAGGCGGCCAACUAAGUCGGACGUGAAAUCCCCAGGCUCAACCUGGGAACUGCGUCCGAUACUGGAUGGCUUGAAUCCGGGAGAGGGAUGCAGAAUUCCAGGUGUAGCGGUGAAAUGCGUAGAUAUCUGGAGGAACACCGGUGGCGAAGGCGGCAUCCUGGACCGGCAUUGACGCUGAUGAGCGAAAGCCAGGGGAGCAAACGGG
rnacentral:rRNA from 1 species